CCCCUUUUCGUGUUAGACCUAAGUCUCGAACCGUAGUUGGUCCUUGUGAGACGACCUAGGGGUCAUUCCCUAGCUAUACUGCAUUUCUUAUUAUGCAAUCAAAUUUGAUUGGGCGGCGACACCCAUCAAGGAUAAAUAUGGGUGAGAAGCUACAAACCAAAGGAAAUAGAGGAGCAAUGGGGAACAAGUGUAAACACAAUAUACUCACACCCAAAACCUCUAAUUUCAUCCUCUUCUUGACUCCUU
rnacentral:lncRNA from 1 species